rnacentral:lncRNA from 1 species
AACUGCUCCUCAACCACCCAACCUGAUCUCCUUCUAUUCAUGAUCCAAACACCAAUCAAGCAUCCAAUCCAAUCAUCACAUUCAUACAAAUAGAGUUCUAUUAGAACAGUACACCAAUCAAUAAAAACAGUGACUGAAAGGUAUAUAAAUCUGUUCUACACAUUCCAACGAACACAUGAGCGAAAGAAUCACUCUAAUUGGACUUAAAACUUGAAAGUUAUGCAUAAAACAUAUUGAAUGGCAUUUAUGUGAAUAAACUAAAUGAAAAACAAAUUUAAAAGAAUUAAAACUAAAUUUCUAACAGUCCUAGACUGCGUGCACUAUUAUAUAAAAGUACAGGGU